rnacentral:rRNA from 1 species
UACGUAGGGUCCGAGCGUUGUCCGGAAUUACUGGGCGUAAAGAGCUCGUAGGUGGUUUGUCGCGUUGUUCGUGAAAACUCACGGCUCAACUGUGGGCGUGCGGGCGAUACGGGCAGACUUGAGUACUGCAGGGGAGACUGGAAUUCCUGGUGUAGCGGUGGAAUGCGCAGAUAUCAGGAGGAACACCGGUGGCGAAGGCGGGUCUCUGGGCAGUAACUGACGCUGAGGAGCGAAAGCGUGGGGAGCAAACAGG